UCUUCCGCAUUCCGACGUGUGGGACGCCGGCCGACAGCUGUGGAGAGACGCGAUUACCGGGCCGCGGGGAGUUUGUUGUCGCCAUCGUGUUAAGUGAUCAGAGGAACUGGCCAGGUGUCUCCGGUUGGGAGAGAUGGCAGGCUAGGAAGCACGAUUGGGAGCCUUGGACCUCAGUAGCAGCAUUAACCACAGUACCGGCUGGUAGGAGGCUGCCACAGUGUCGGCCCUCACACUGAACUCUCUGUCAUGACGCCACAUGCACACACCCAUUGAGUCAAAGCCUACAAUACUUAAAGGACAUUCAAACAUAUGGACUUACCUACAUUUUUUUGUCGGGCAUUGGAGUCGACCUGCCGAGUGAUGUGGACAUGCUACUAAAAGAACUGAACUUUAGCUAGUAGCUAGUAUCCUGGUUUUUGGGGUACUGUAAUACUGAUAAUACUGCAGUUGUAAAUAUCAUCACGUUUGGGUCUCUGUUUGUGUAUGUGUCAUGUAAAUUGUAAAAACACUAUCACUGUAAUAUAUGGUUUUGCUACCAAGUGCAAUUUUCUUGUGGCUCAUUAAUUACUGAUCACCAGCUCCAGUAGCCCAUCCUAAUCUUCAGAUUCUCUGGCCUUAGAACCCGCUCGGUGAUGAUUCAGCUUGUUGUCCGUUAGUUAGUAGCGGGUUGAGAUACCCGUUAUAACUGCAAGCGCUCCACCAGGAUGUUGUUGUUUACCGCUGGACGUUCUGGUAGGACUUCCAUGAUGGGAACAUCUAGGAAGGUUUGCUCUGACUCAGAUCUGCUAUGAAGAAAUGCCACCUUCACCCGAACAGCUAAAAUAUACAGUCCAUAGAUUUAACAGCAGGAAUCUGCAUCAAGUAACACUUAAUAUCAAAGUACUUACAGUGAGAACGAAGUAAGUCCACUUGGACUUUAUUUUGCCACAAUACUGUGUUUCAGUGGAAUGACUUGGUAUCCAUCAAGAACGUACGAUACCGAAGGAUAGAAACCAGGAAGGUCAUGAAUGUUAACACUGCAACCCAAGACUGUCCUUGGUCCCAGA